AACGUACGCUGGCGGCACGCCUAACACAUGCAAGUCGAACGAAGUAGCAAUACUUAGUGGCAGACGGGUGAGUAACAUGUAGGUAUCUGCCCUUUGGCCUGGAAUAACACGAGGAAACUUGUGCUAAUACCGGAUAAGUCUUUACGGAGAAAGCUUUAUGCACCAUUGGAUGAGCCUGCACUUGAUUAGUUUGUUGGUGGGGUAAUGGCCUACCAAGACUUUGAUCAAUAGCUGAUUUGAGAGGAUGAUCAGCCACAUUGGGACUGAGACACGGCCCAAACUCCUACGGGAGGCAGCAGUGGGGAAUCUUGCACAAUGGAGGAAACUCUGAUGCAGCGAUGCCGCGUGAGUGAAGAAGGCCCUUGGGCUGUAAAGCUCUUUCGUCGGGGAAGAAAAUGACUGUACCCGAAUAAGAAGGUCCGGCUAACUUCGUGCCAGCAGCCGCGGUAAUACGAAGGGACCUAGCGUAGUUCGGAAUUACUGGGCUUAAAGAGUUCGUAGGUGGUUGAAAAAGUUGGUGGUGAAAUCCCAGGGCUUAACUCUGGAACUGCCAUCAAAACUUUUCAGCUAGAGUUUGAUAGAGGAAAGCAGAAUUUCUAGUGUAGAGGUGAAAUUCGUAGAUAUUAGAAAGAAUACCAAUUGCGAAGGCAGCUUUCUGGAUCAUUACUGACACUGAGGAACGAAAGCAUGGGUAGCGAAGAGGAUUAGAUACCCUCGUAGUCCAUGCCGUAAACGAUGUGUGUUAGACGUUGGAAAUUUAUUUUCAGUGUCGCAGCGAAAGCGAUAAACACACCGCCUGGGGAGUACGACCGCAAGGUUAAAACUCAAGUGAAUUGACGGGGACCCGCACAAGUAGUGGAGCAUGUGGUUUAAUUCGAAGAUACGCGCAGAACCUUACCAACACUUGACAUGUUCGUCGCGACUUUAAGAGAUUAAAGUUUUCGGUUCGGCCGGACGAAACACAGGUGCUGCAUGGCUGUCGUCAGCUCGUGUCGUGAGAUGUUGGGUUAAGUCCCGCAACGAGCGCAACCCUCACUUUUAGUUGCCAUCAUUUAGUUGGGCACUCUGAAAGAACUGCCAGUGAUAAGCUGGAGGAAGGUGGGGAUGACGUCAAGUCCUCAUGGCCCUUACGUGUUGGGCUACACACGUGCUACAAUGGUAUUUACAACAGGAAGCAAGACAGCGAUGUUAAGCAAAUCCUUAAAAAAUACCUCAGUUCGGAUUGCACUCUGCAACUCGAGUGCAUGAAGCUGGAAUUACUAGUAAUCGUGGAUCAGCGUGCCACGGUGAAUGCGUUCCCGGGUCU
rnacentral:rRNA from 1 species